GCCUGGUCUUGGAUCAUGAGACGAAAAGAAAUUGCGGGCCCCCCUGAUCGCAUGCCGUUGGCGGGCCCCUUCGAUGCUUUUCCUUUUAUAUUAUGCUACCGAUUUGGUCAAAGUGGUUCCAAUCAUUAGGCCUCGAAAGAGUGGUGCAUUUUUUAAAACGGAAGGAACAUCAGACGUCCACAGCGGCAACUUGAUCGAUCGAUUAUGUGCCGUCCGAUCAUUCCCUCACCCUUUCACAUCCGGCCAUCUGGUCCGCUGAUUACCAAUCCGACGGCUCAGAAGAA
rnacentral:lncRNA from 1 species